CCAGGACUCAAAGCCGCCAACCCCAGCCUCCCGGCAAGCCUUGACUUCCCGGAUGGGGCCAUGCUUUUCUUCCAGGACAAUCAGGACUCCUCCCCUCCCGGCGAUCUUUCUAGGAGGCCACCUCCAGAGAUUCCGAGGCGAUUUCCUCUCUGUUGGUACUAAACUGGUAACUCCUCUCACUAAAAACACCAGGGAGAAUCACAAGCAGAGUAUUCAGCGAGGGGCCACCAUCAUCGAAAAAACCACAUAGUUCAAUAUGAGAAAAAUGAGAUAUUACAGGCUUGAAAUAACUUGCUCAAAGUCACCUAGUUGAAAACAGACUCAAAGAAGUGAUUUAUCUGAAGACACACAGUUAAUUAAUUGCAGAAUGAGAUCCAGAGAAGCACCUCCUGGUUCCUUGCCCAAUGUCCUUUCUACCCUCCAAACCACAGCAGUUCAGUCCAAGAGGAGUCAAAGAAUGUAAAUAAUUCAACAAUUACA